rnacentral:rRNA from 1 species
AUGGAGAGUCUCCUCCAUUGGGAUUUCUCUCCGGGCUUGGCGAUUGAAUCUCAGGUACGUGCCAAGUUUGGAUCUUCGGUGCACUUCUCCUCGGCAAACCCUGGAUCCUCAAAGGAAUUCUUCCUUGUGGUUUCUUUCUCGUCGGCUUCUUUCAAGUUGACAGAGGAAUCUGUGGCCCUAGCGCUCCAAUCUUGCAUUGGCGGCCUCGCUUCAAAACUUAGGGUUUUGCAACUAAGUGAUCGUCGCUUUCGUUUCUCGGUUGCAUCCAACCGUGUGGGACACUUUAUUUAUGGUCUUAAGGAUCGGAUUUGGCCAGAUUUUAUCUGUCAUUUUCAUCUGUUUUGUGGUGUCCCUGAUCACGCUGGUGUUCAUCAUGAAGUUGGUUGGCAUGUGGAUAGUUUUCUCCAUGAGGUGGGGUCUCGUUCUUUGGCCAUCAAAUCUAAAUGGCUCCAAGAUCAACAAAGUAAAUUUGACCAGCAGAACUCAGUUGCUAAACAUUUAGUGAAUUUACAUGAUCAAACACAAAGCUCCUCGCCGGAGUGCAGUAGGCAGCCAGCCGCCGAUGGAAUCUUUUUUUGGGCAGUUCAAAUUUCCGGUAAUUGCGGAUCAGGAGCUGAAUAUCCGUUUGGGAGAUUUUAUUUGUUCUGGAAAGCAAAAUCUGCAUGUCCUGCCUUCUUUCAAGGGACAUCGUUUUCGUGA